rnacentral:tRNA from 1 species
GGGCGCUUAACUCAGCUGGUAGAGUGUAUCCCUUACAAGGAUAAAGUCGGGGGUUCAAGUCCCUCAGCGCCCACCA